GACGAACGCUGGCGGCGUGCUUAACACAUGCAAGUCGAACGGAAAGGCCCCCACCUUGGUGGGGGUGCUCGAGUGGCGAACGGGUGAGUAACACGUGGGUGAUCUGCCCUGUACUUCGGGAUAAGCUUGGGAAACUGGGUCUAAUACCGGAUAGGACCAUGGUUUAGUGUCUCAUGGUGGAAAGAUUAUUGUUUUGGUGCAGGAUGAGCUCGCGGCCUAUCAGCUUGUUGGUGGGGUAAUGGCCUACCAAGGCGUCGACGGGUAGCCGGCCUGAGAGGGUGGACGGCCACAUUGGGACUGAGAUACGGCCCAGACUCCUACGGGAGGCAGCAGUGGGGAAUAUUGCACAAUGGGCGCAAGCCUGAUGCAGCGACGCCGCGUGGGGGAUGACGGCCUUCGGGUUGUAAACUCCUUUCGUUAGGGACGAAGCCACAUUUUUUUGGGUGUGGUGACGGUACCUUUGUUAAGAAGCACCGGCUAACUACGUGCCAGCAGCCGCGGUAAUACGUAGGGUGCGAGCGUUGUCCGGAAUUACUGGGCGUAAAGAGCUCGUAGGUGGUUUGUUGCGUCGUCUGUGAAAUUCCGGGGCUUAACUUCGGGGUGGCAGGCGAUACGGGCAUAACUAGAGUGCUGUAGGGGAGACUGGAAUUCCUGGUGUAGCGGUGGAAUGCGCAGAUAUCAGGAGGAACACCGAUGGCGAAGGCAGGUCUCUGGGCAGUAACUGACGCUGAGGAGCGAAAGCAUGGGGAGCGAACAGGAUUAGAUACCCUGGUAGUCCAUGCUGUAAACGGUGGGCGUUAGGUGUGGGGACCGGUUUGGUUUCUGUGCCGUAGCUAACGCAUUAAGCGCCCCGCCUGGGGAGUACGGCCGCAAGGCUAAAACUCAAAGGAAUUGACGGGGGCCCGCACAAGCGGCGGAGCAUGUGGAUUAAUUCGAUGCAACGCGAAGAACCUUACCUGGGUUUGACAUGCACCAGACGGUUGUAGAGAUACGUACCCCCCUUUGUGGUUGGUGUGCAGGUGGUGCAUGGUUGUCGUCAGCUCGUGUCGUGAGAUGUUGGGUUAAGUCCCGCAACGAGCGCAACCCUUGUCUUAUGUUGCCAGCACGUUUGGGUGGGGACUCAUGAGAGACUGCCGGGGUUAACUCGGAGGAAGGUGGGGAUGACGUCAAAUCAUCAUGCCCUUUAUGCCCAGGGCUUCACACAUGCUACAAUGGUUAGUACAACGCGCGGCGAGCCUGUGAGGGUGAGCGAAUCGCUGAAAGCUAAUCUCAGUUCGGAUUGGGGUCUGCAACUCGACCCCAUGAAGUCGGAGUCGCUAGUAAUCGCAGAUCAGCAAUGCUGCGGUGAAUACGCUCCCGGGCCU
rnacentral:rRNA from 1 species